AAAACUUUUCCAAAAGAAAAGAAAAAUCUGUUCUUAUCAGUUUAAUAUCUGAUACGUCCCCUAUCUGGGGACCAUAUAUUAAAUUGAUUUUUGGAAUAGGGAGAUGGAAUAGGGGCUUGCUCCGUCCACUCCACGCAUCGACCUGGUAUUGCAGUACCUCCAGGAACGGUGCACCCCCU
rnacentral:snRNA from 1 species